rnacentral:misc_RNA from 1 species
UUCGAUGGGUCAGGUGCCAG